rnacentral:lncRNA from 12 species
CCCAGCCCUACUUUCAAGGAUGAGAGUCCUAGAAAAGGAACAUGCACCAAAAGCCUGCAACUCAAGAAGCCUUCAAGAGAGAAGUAUCUUUUUCGGUUAUGUACACACCAUUUGUGAAAGGAGACACGGCUGACAAAAU